AAGACCUUGCGCUUUUGGAGCGGCCGAUGCCUGAUUAGCUAGUUGGUGGGGUAAUGGCCUACCAAAGCUUCGAUCAGUAGCUGGUCUGAGAGGACGGCCAGCCACACUGGGACUGAGACACGGCCCAGACUCCUACGGGAGGCAGCAGUGGGGAAUUUUGGACAAUGGGGGCAACCCUGAUCCAGCCAUGCCGCGUGAGUGAAGAAGGCCUUCGGGUUGUAAAGCUCUUUCAGCCGGAACGAAACGGUUACGGUUAAUACCCGUGACUACUGACGGUACCGGAAGAAGAAGCACCGGCUAACUACGUGCCAGCAGCCGCGGUAAUACGUAGGGUGCGAGCGUUAAUCGGAAUUACUGGGCGUAAAGGGUGCGCAGGCGGUUUUGUAAGUCAGAUGUGAAAUCCCCGGGCUUAACCUGGGAACU
rnacentral:rRNA from 1 species